UAGGGAAUCUUCCGCAAAGGACGCAAGUCUGACGGAGCAACGCCGCGUGAGUGAAGAAGGAUUUCGGUUCGUAAAACUCUGUUGUUAGAGAAGAACAGCGCAUAGAGUAACUGUUAUGCGUGUGACGGUAUCUAACCAGAAAGCCACGGCUAACUACGUGCCAGCAGCCGCGGUAAUACGUAGGUGGCAAGCGUUGUCCGGAUUUAUUGGGCGUAAAGCGAGCGCAGGCGGUCAAUUAAGUCUGAUGUGAAAGCCCCCGGCUCAACCGGGGAGGGUCAUUGGAAACUGGUUGACUUGAGUGCAGAAGAGGAGAGUGGAAUUCCAUGUGUAGCGGUGAAAUGCGUAGAUAUAUGGAGGAACACCGGUGGCGAAAGCGGCUCUCUGGUCUGUAACUGACGCUGAGGCUCGAAAGCGUGGGUAGCAAACAGG
rnacentral:rRNA from 1 species